GGCCUGCUGCUGUGAUGGGCCUGCUGGCCUGCCAAGCUGUUGGGCUGUUGGCCUGCUAGGCUGUUGGGCCUGUUGGGCAGCUACUUUGGGCCCCUUUUUUUCUCUUUUUUCUUCUUUUUUUUGUUGGGCCUAGCUGGGUUGGCCUGUUGGGGGUUGCUGCUGGGUGGUCGGGUCGGGUAGGGUCGGGUCGACCCAACUAUUAAUUUUUUCUUUUUUCUUUUUCUUUUUUCCUUUUUUCUUUUUUAUUUCUUUCUUCUUCUUUUUCUUCUUCCCUCUUCACCCUAGCUUGCACCGCCGCCUCUUUCACACCGCCGCUGUCGUCUCCGCCGCUUGGCCUCCGUGGCAGGUUGCUAGGGAGAAGGGAGGCCAUACCCUAGGCCGGUGGCCGGAAAUCGCGGGGAUUAGGUGCGAAAAUCGCGUUUGGCUGCCAGAAGGACCAGAUUGAAAAUGUAACAAAACUUAUGGGGCCAAAACAUAAUUUUGAGAAAAUAUAGGGGUCAAAAUGUAAUUUCAAAAACUUGAUGGGUCAAAAUGUAAUUUCAAAAACUUGAUGGGUCAAAAUGUAAUUUCAAAAAAUUUGAUGGGUCAAAAUGUAAUUUAAAAAAGUUUAGCGCUUAAAAUAUAAUUUUAGGAAAAUUUAGGGGUUAAAAU